rnacentral:rRNA from 1 species
AACAUCAUCCGAUCCCUAGUCGGCAUAGUUUAUGGUUAAGACUACGACGGUAUCUGAUCGUCUUCGAUCCCCUAACUUUCGUUCUUGAUUAAUGAAAACAUCCUUGGCAAAUGCUUUCGCAGUAGUUAGUCUUCAAUAAAUCCAAGAAUUUCACCUCUGACAAUUGAAUACUAAUGCCCCCAACUAUCCCUAUUAAUCAUUACGUCAAUCCUAGAAACCAACAAAAUAGGAUCGAACGUCCUAUUUCAUUAUUCCAUGCUAAUGUAUUCAAGCGUUAGCUUGCUUUAAACACUCUAAUUUUUUCAAAGUAACAGUCCAAAUUCCCCGCAACACCAAAUUAAUGGCAUUACGGCUCAUCAGGAAGGAGGAAUCAGUGAGACCAGUACAUACCAGAGGCAUGACCAACCUACUAACCCCGAAAUUCAACUACGAGCUUUUUAACUGCAACAACUUUAAUAUACGCUAUUGGAG